GUGAAAAUUUUGGCAACACAUAUACUAAAACUGGAACAAUACAGAGAAGAUUAGCAUGGUCCCUGUGCAAGAGUGAACACAGUUUUAAUGACAAGUGCUUGUAUUAA